rnacentral:rRNA from 1 species
UACGAAUCGUCCAAACGUUGUUCGGAUUCACUGGGUUUAAAGGGCGCGUAGGCGGUGCGUUAAGUCGGCGGUGAAAUACUUCGGCUCAACCGAAGAAUUGCCGCUGAAACUGGCGUGCUGGAGGGAGGUAGAGGUGUGUGGAACUUCCGGUGGAGUGGUGAAAUACGUUGAUAUCGGAAGGAACACCUGUGGCGAAAGCGAUGCACUGGACCUCUUCUGACGCUGAGGCGCGAAAGCUAGGGUAGCGAACGGG